rnacentral:lncRNA from 1 species
CCACAGUCUACAAAACCCCACAGCUCCUAAGAAUUCUCUAACCUGCCUUCUGCCCUUAGGCUCCGGUAGAUUGCAAACGACCUGCUUUCUUUCUGAUCCCGGGCUGCGUUCGGACCCCUGUCGUAUAGAAAAUCCCAAGUAAGGUACCUGCCGUCGGCAGAUCUGAGCUUUCUUCUUGGACACCUAAUACCCACAGUCCUCCAGACCCCUGUCGGAUAGUAAAUCCCAAGUAAGGUACCUUCUGCUGGAAGAUCUGAGCUUUCUUCUUGGACACCUAAAACCCACAGUCCUCCAGUGAAGGAUCCAGUGAGAUUUUCCAGGUUAACGGUCAUAAUCGCCUACUGGUCCAACGUUCAGAAGUAACACAGGCACCUGGACAAUACACAGUAGAUGUGGAAGGACACGGUUGUACAUUUAUCCAGG